AUGAAGAUUGCGAAAACAUCACAGAGGUUGAAUUGUCCCUAAAUGUGGAUAGCGUACCACUGUUCAAAAGUUCAGGCAAUAGUAUGUGGCCUGUUCUCUGCACUGUCCAGCUUCAACCUGUCAAGAUCUUCCCUCUAUUUCUUUCUUUUGUGGAAAGCAAACCCCAAAACUUGGAUUUUUUGGAGGAGGUGGUUGCUGACCUGAAUGCUGUGAUGUGUAAUGGCCUUCUGUUCAGAGGCAGGAUUAUCUAGGUUAAAAUCCGAUGCAUUGUCUGUGAUGCUCCUGCCCGUGCUCUUGUGAAGAACACAAAACUGUGCAGUGGCUAUUAUGGAUGUGACAAGUGUGAGCAAAGGGGUGUUUGGGUUGGCCAAGUCACAUAUCCAGAAGUAGAUGGCCUGAUUCUGAGGAACGAUCACUCCUUUAGAAAUAAAAUGCAGGAAAAACACCAUCAUGGUGACACCCCACUCACCGAUUUGCCGAUUGACAUGGUUGCAGCUUUCCCUAUUGAUUACAUGCACCAGUGUUGCCUUGGGAUUAUGAGGAAACUGCUCCUCGUCUGGACCAAAAAAGGAAAGCGAGGAGUCAGAAUGUCUGCCCAGCAAUCUGCAUUAGUUAGCAGCAGAAUGGUUGAUCUCCAGGACAGCAUCCCAUCAGACUUUGCAAGGCCACCUCGAUCGAUUAAGCAAGUGGAGAGAUGGAAAGCAACAGAAUUCCGCCAGUUCAUGCUCUACACUGGAAAACUUGUGAUGAAAGGUAUUCUGGAUGAUGAACUAUAUAAGCACUUUAUAGUGUUCAGUGUAGCUAUGGGCAUUCUGGUAUGUCCAAAACCCCUGAAAGAUCACAGUGCCUAUGCCCACGAGCUUCUGAAAUACUUAGUUCAGAAAGCUAGGGUCCUCUAUGGAGAUGACUUCAUGGUGUACAAUCUGCACACUCUGGUUCACAUGACUGAUGAGGCGAGGAAAUAUGAGGGUCUGAACAACUGCAGUGCAUUCCAGUUUGAAAACUACCUUCAUGGCCUCAAGCGGCUGGUGCGGUCUGGGAAGAGCCCUAUCAAACAGGUGGCUAAAAGACUCCAGGAAAGGAAUUUCACAGGACGUGUCAAACCACACAAAGUGAAAGUCUCAAGCAAGAAAAAGGACUGUGCAUACAUCACAUAGGAUGGAAAGUGUGUGGAUGUUGUUGAAAUUUCUGCAGAAGACAAAAUGGCUCUUUGCCGUGUCUAUAUAAACCCUGCCCCUCUCUUUGCUCACCCAUACAAUUCCUACCUGAUUCGUGCCUUCCAGUUUCAGAAGAGAGAAGCAGAGAUGGAAAUGAUGCCAAAAUCACAGCUGACUAGAAGAGCGAUUAAGAUUGAUCGGCAGCAAGGCAGAACAGUGUUUUUGGGACUUCUACAUAGUUUUUGACAAGAUAAUGCAAAUCCUAACGGGUGCCCAAAACCAAUAUGCAACAUGCAGUAUGUCUUUAUUUUAGCCUCACAACUUUUAUUCAAAUCGUUUUCAAUGAAAAAUCAACACCUAAAUUGCUGCACUUUUUAAUCAUGGUGCUUUUCCAGUGCCACACGCGCGCACACAGGGGGCUCAUGUAUCGUUCAGAGGCAGACUUUCGCUGGAACGCAGAUCCCCUCUUUCUUGUCGUCUACCUCAUUUUUUUCUUUUGAUGAUUUAACACCGGCUAUGUGUCCCCACAUCUUUAAGGUAACAAAGUGCCACUAAUGCUAGACGUUUCUUUUCUGACUAAAACUUUCUACUAGAAAAUGCAAUUUAAUCUUAAAAAUCUAAGUUAUGAGGUAUAAUUGACCCUAAUUUUUCUGUUUUUAUUGGGCAGAAAUGUACUGUGUGGUUGAAUUCCUGGAGGAAAGUACGGUGGAGGCUGUCCCAAUAUUACGACCCCAUGGGUCUAAGGGGUGCAUGGGGUAUGUAACUGGAUGUUAAGAAUGCCAGGAGAUGUUAAUGCUGUAUAAAUGGUAACAACAAUAAAUCAAACACAGACAAAAGCAGCAACUCAGUGCAUGGGUGUUUUACUGUGGAAACAAAACAAAAUGUGCAACAAACUACUUCAGGACAUACAACAUCCCAGACACACACUACCAGGGUCAACGGACGCUGGAUGUUGCCAAAAGAACAGAAAAACAAGCUAGCUAAACCAGAGAGUAAUUUAAUCUAGUGUAUCAAGUACACAAACAAAAGGCCUAUCUACUCUAACUAGCAGACUGAAAAAAACAAUUGGUUGGCAAUCACCCCUAAGGACUAGUGGAUCUAUACACAACAUAGCCUACGGGCAUAUGUACAGGAGCCCCCAGUCUUACCUGUCCCAAGCCUUGGAAGUGUACACAAAACAAGACAAGUUCAAAUGAGUGAUUAACAUAGAGUCAAAUACUAACACAACACAGAGCAAAAAGUCAUCCAUCAUUACAAACAGUCACGGUUUAUAUAGCAGAGGUGGCGAGUUCUGAUUGGUUGUCCAGAAUUGACACGGAGGGUGGGGAUUGGUGAAGGUGGGACUUGGUGGAUGGUGGUUGACAGGUGAAGGCAGGGAAGUCCACACAAAAGAAACACAUGGCACGUAACACCCAACAUCAUGGGUGCUGGAAAGAGAUGGGGGCAGAUUCUGUUAUUGGACAACAGACAGCACGGAUAAAGAAAUGCUCUCCUCCAAGUCCUGACUGGAUGCUCUUUAGAGUUUGAAUGUUCCCUGGCAUGACUGAGAACUAUGAGGAAGCUAAGUGCUGGGUGAAGCUCUUUGAGGAGCAAUCCUCUGUUGAGUCUGAACCAAAGUCAAGAAAAAGAGUGCGUAACCAUCGCUACAUGUCAAGCUCCAGUGAUGAAGGUGAAGAUUUGGGAGCCUCCACCAGUACCAUUCACACCAUGCUGCACAAGAAGCCAUCAAACAUUAAUUUCAAAAGAGGUA